GCCGUUUGCGCGUGCGCAUUACAUCUCCGGGCGUGAGGGCGGGGAGGCCUGGAUGAUUUAACCCGCGACAACCGCUGGUGGGAAGCACUUGCGGUCGCCGAUGAGCACAUAGGCCCCUUCUCAUCCAGCAGCCACCACUUUCCCAGUGACCAUGAUAGGGUGAUUUGAAUAAGUAAGAAUUUCAUCCUGCUAGUCAAGAUUGCU
rnacentral:lncRNA from 1 species